rnacentral:lncRNA from 1 species
CUCAAAGAGUUAAGUAUGAUCCCCUAGCAGUAUGACUUGAGUGUGAUCAAACAGAUGGUUUGUCACCAAUAAAGGUGGAGGAAAACAAAAGUUAAGAAAGUGUUGGAAGUUCCAGAGAUGCAAGGAGAAAUGUCUCUAUGCAGCAUCCUAAUGGAAAUACUCUGAAGCUGCUGCUUCUGGAAAUGGUACAAUCGAGCCAGCUAUGUCCACCAAAGGAUAUAAAGUGUGGGUUCAGAAACAAUUCUUGCAUGAAAGCAGAAAAGCUGGGAUUUCACUUCUGCUUCCAGAAGUAUCUUCCUAAUUAAGUAAAUCUGGACUGAUGUGGAAACAUGUUCAAUAAGUGGAGGAGAUAAACGCUGUGGAGUUAUUUGGGUAACUAAAACUAGAAUUUGCUGGAUCAAAGUAAUAUAACUGUGCUGGCAAUUUUUUUCUGUGAGCUAAAACAUAAUACAAAAAUGUAAGUCAGAGAAAACCACUCCUUUCAUUAAUUGAUUUCUUUUAUUCUUCA